GAGAAAGGACAGAGCUACAGCUUCACCUGCAAAGUUCAACAGAAGAAUAUCAGUCAAAUCAAAGAGACACACAUCCAUGUUUCAGGUGAUCUCUUCAUGGUCCAGUCUAACACUGCUGUUCACAUUAUCAUCAACUUGGCUGUCUGUUUAAUAAGCGUCGGGACAGUAAUAUUCCUAAUAUGGAAGUGUGGACAAAAGAAAACC